rnacentral:lncRNA from 1 species
UAUGAUCUUGUUUAUAACGAUUGGUAUCGUCAAUGGUUUAAAUUUUUUUGGUAUAGUCUUUUUGCUAAUGCCAAAAGGGGGAAGAAUAUGGGUGACAUGCAUGCCUUAAUUGAGGGGGAAUAGUCAAUUAAUGGGGAAUUAUAUUGAAUUGGUUUCUAUGAAUUGUUUGCAUAAAUUGUAUGUUGAGAUAUAGCAUGAAUUUAGG